rnacentral:rRNA from 1 species
UACGUAGGGGGCAAGCGUUGUCCGGAUUUAUUGGGCGUAAAGGGCGUGUAGGCGGUUUGGUAGGUCCGUUGUGAAAACUCGAGGCUCAACCUCGAGACGCCGAUGGAAACCAUCAGACUAGAGUCCGGAAGAGGAGAGUGGAAUUCCUGGUGUAGCGGUGAAAUGCGCAGAUAUCAGGAAGAACACCCGUGGCUAAGGCGGCUCUCUAGUACGGUACUGACGCUGAGACGCGAAGGCGUGGGGAGCGAACAGG